GAAAGUGGCUGACAGCAAUGGGGAUAAUCAAUAUCGGUGGUCAAUGGGAUGAAACCGUUUGCAAUAUGAUCGCUUGUCAGCAUCCACCCUGCUGGGAGUCUAUGCGGAGAAUCGAAAGUGGACAUCCUCACAUUUUGCUGAAGAACGUAGCCAUACCUGGAAGAGAUUUCCCAGCAUCUGAAGACAAACUGCCAACUCUGAAGAUUGUUGACCUUCCCCUCCUUUAUCCUCCGAGAGAACGAGUUAAAUGUGUGGGAGGUUUUGAUUCCGGCUCUAAGAAAAUUUCCAGUAGCAAAGAAGCUAGAAAUUGCUUUUCAAAUUCUAUUCUGAAUGAUGGUUGGAUAAUACCCCCCAUUUUGGUACUGAGUUCGGAAAGGAAUCCUUUCCCAGGUCUGAACUCCAGAAUGGAAUCUCAGUCUCUCCAUUUCCCACCAAUAAAUUUCACCUGCUCGAGGCAACCUGAGAAAGUGCAGGUGGCAGAGCCCUCCGAGUUUGUGGUGCACAGUCUGGUUCCCCAGCCAUCCUGUGGAAGCACGGUUUUCCGUUGGGUUCCAGAUAAGCGACCCAGAUUCCCGCAGUCUCAGAAUCCUAAUGGGAGAGUGUAA
rnacentral:lncRNA from 1 species